AUUGAACGCUGGCGGCAGGCCUAACACAUGCAAGUCGAACGAGUGGCGGACGGGUGAGUAAUGUCUGGGAAACUGCCGGAUGUAGGGGGAUAACUACUGGAAACGGUAGCUAAUACCGCAUACCAUCAGAUGUGCCCAGAUGUGAUUAGCUAGUUGGUGGGGUAACGGCUCACCAAGGCGACGAUCCCUAGCUGGUCUGAGAGGAUGACCAGCCACACUGGAACUGAGAAACGGUCCAGACUCCUACGGGAGGCAGCAGUGGGGAAUCUUGGACAAUGGACGAAAGUCGGACGGAGCAACGCCGCGUGAGUGAAGAAGGUCUUCGGGUUGUAAAGUACUUUUAUCAGGGAAGCGGUACCCGAACAAGAAGCAACGGCUAACUACGUGCCAGCAGCCGCGGUAAUUC
rnacentral:rRNA from 1 species